GAAUAUUGGACAAUGGGCGAAAGCCUGAUCCAGCCAUGCCGCGUGUGUGAAGAAGGUCUUCGGAUUGUAAAGCACUUUAAGUUGGGAGGAAGGGCAGUAAGUUAAUACCUUGCUGUUUUGACGUUACCGACAGAAUAAGCCGCGGCUAACUUCCUGCCAGCAGCCGAGGUAAUACGAAGAUGGCAAGCGUUAAUCGGAAUUACUGGGCGUAAAGCGCGCGUAGGUGGUUCAGCAAGUUGAAGGUGAAAUCCCCGGGCUCAACCUGGGAACUGCCUCCAAAACUACUGAGCUAGAGUACGGUAGAGGGUAGUGGAAUUUCCUGUGUAGCGGUGAAAUGCGUAGAUAUAGGAAGGAACACCAGUGGCGAAGGCGACUACCUGGACUGAUACUGACACUGAGGUGCGAAAGCGUGGGGAGCAAACAGG
rnacentral:rRNA from 1 species